rnacentral:rRNA from 1 species
UAGGGAAUCUUCGGCAAUGGGCGAAAGCCUGACCGAGCGACGCCGCGUGAGGGAAGAAGGUCUUCGGAUUGUAAACCUCUGUCUAGGGGGACGAGGAAGGACGGUACCCCUGGAGGAAGCCCCGGCUAACUACGUGCCAGCAGCCGCGGUAAUACGUAGGGGGCGAGCGUUGUCCGGAAUUACUGGGCGUAAAGGGCGCGCAGGCGGCCAUGUAAGUCAGGUGUGAAAGGCCGAGGCUCAGCCGGGGAGUGGCAGUCGAAACUGUUGGGCUUGAGUGCAGGAGAGGAGGGUGGAAUUCCUGGUGUAGCGGUGAAAUGCGUAGAUAUCAGGAGGAACACCGGUGGCGAAGGCGACCUUCUGGCCUGUUACUGACGCUGAGGCGCGAAAGCCAGGGGAGCGAAC